UUUGGUGGUGGAUUGUUGCUGGCCUUUGGGUAUGUGCACAUCCUCCUCCGAUUUCUAUUCAUCCACCUGUGCACUUUUUGUAGGAGUUCUUUCAUCGGGUUUUUGAAGGGGGCCCUUUAUAAUUUGCUUGAAAAAACAAUUGAACAAGGUUCCAUGGUCCUUAUAACCCUUUGAAUAAGGUAAAAAAAGGACCUGGUAUUGGGAACUUUAUGGACCCUUAAACUUUAUAACACUUUUCACCACCGAAUCCUUGGGUUCCCCCUCCAAGAAAAAACCCACCGAAUGGCAAUAAUAAUGGGGAUUGGCAAAAUUAGUGGAACCUCCAAUCCUUUAACCCCCCCUGGCCCCCCCGGGUAUUCCGAAGGGAUGGCUGGUUUAAUGGCAUUUAAAUUCUAAAUUUUAAAAUUUUUACUUUAUCAAACUUGGAAGGUGGAAGGUUGGCAGGCUUUGGCCACCCCCCCUUAAUUUGAUAAUGGGAAACCCGGUUUGGUAAUUCCUACCCUGGGGGGGUUAUUUACCAACUUUUGGGGGAAACUUUACAUUAUAAAACCUUAAUUGGUUGGUUUGUGGCAUUAAUUUUGUUAAUUUUUUCCAAUUC
rnacentral:rRNA from 1 species